AAAUUGAAGAGUUUGAUCAUGGCUCAGAUUGAACGCUGGCGGCAGGCCUAACACAUGCAAGUCGAACGGUAGCACAGAGAGCUUGCUCUCGGGUGACGAGUGGCGGACGGGUGAGUAAUGUCUGGGAAACUGCCUGAUGGAGGGGGAUAACUACUGGAAACGGUGGCUAAUACCGCAUAACGUCGCAAGACCAAAGAGGGGGACCUUCGGGCCUCUUGCCAUCAGAUGUGCCCAGAUGGGAUUAGCUUGUUGGUGAGGUAACGGCUCACCAAGGCGACGAUCCCUAGCUGGUCUGAGAGGAUGACCAGCCACACUGGAACUGAGACACGGCCCAGACUCCUACGGGAGGCAGCAGUGGGGAAUAUUGCACAAUGGGCGCAAGCCUGAUGCAGCCAUGCCGCGUGUAUGAAGAAGGCCUUCGG
rnacentral:rRNA from 1 species